GAUUGUCCUUUGGACAAUGGUAGGAGAGCGUUCUAAGGGCGUUGAAGCAUGAUCGUAAGGACAUGUGGAGCGCUUAGAAGUGAGAAUGCCGGUGUGAGUAGCGAAAGACGGGUGAGAAUCCCGUCCACCGAUUGACUAAGGUUUCCAGAGGAAGGCUCGUCCGCUCUGGGUUAGUCGGGUCCUAAGCUGAGGCCGACAGGCGUAGGCGAUGGAUAACAGGUUGAUAUUCCUGUACCACCUAUAAUCGUUUUAAUCGAUGGGG
rnacentral:rRNA from 1 species